UACGGAGGGGGCUAGCGUUGUUCGGAAUUACUGGGCGUAAAGCGCGCGUAGGCGGACCUGCAAGUCGGGGGUGAAAGCCCGAGGCUUAACCUCGGAACUGCCUUCGAUACUGCGGGUCUCGAGUCCGGGAGAGGUGAGUGGAAUUCCUAGGGUAGAGGUGAAACUCGUAGAUAUUAGGAAGAACACCAGUGGCGAAGGCGGCUCACGGGCCCGGUACUGACGCUGACGCGCGAAAGCGUGGGGAGCAAACAGG
rnacentral:rRNA from 1 species